AGAUAUGUUGUUUGUGUCACUACAGGAUACUGGGCCUGACCAGGUUUCCUGCCCUUUAGGAAGACAGAAAACUUUUAGACAAUAACUGCUGUGCUGCAGCCAAACACCUCAGAAAAAAACAAAACCUUGGCCCUAUCUUAGAGCCCCCACCAGCACAAUCCAUAAAAAGAAAAGGUGAUAAAUUGAAAUUCAUGAAUGGAUAAAGAAAAUAUGGUAUAUCCAUGCAAUGGAACAUUAUUCAAAUCAUAUACUUAAAGCUUAAUUUUAUGUUUCUUCAACUUGGAUAAUAUCUGUAGACUCCGUCCUUUGUAUUACGACAUUCGUGGUUCUUGCCUUUUACAUUGUACUGUUUCAGUUCUACAUUUUAUUGAAACCCUUAACUCAUCUUUUUUCCCCACCUUCAAUCUCCAAAGUCACUGCCUUAGUACAUGGCACCACCAUCCAGCACUUUUGGGAGACUGGAGGAUUAGUGUCUGGCUUAAAUUCCACAUCAGAGCCACCAAUGUCACUCUCAGAAUCUGAUAUGACCCUUCGUUUUUUUAUUUGGCGGCUACUUCGCCUAGAUCCUUGUGUCUUAGGCUGUACUUCCUCUUCACUCUCAAUACAACAAAUCACAAAAUGUUUUAAGAAAGUUUACAAAUUUGUGUUGGGCUGAUUUAAACGCCAUCCUGGGCCACAGACUGGACUUACCAAAAUGGUACUACCUCUUGCUUACCCUGCCAGUAGGCUUGAAAACCUAAGUAAAAACGAUGCUAGCUGUUGAGAUUCUAAGUAACCUAACUUAUCCUACAGUCCAGGGAACUACAGAAGUAUGCAUGUAUGUAUAAUAAAAUAAUACAUAUACACACACAUAUAUAAAACAAGGUAUCUUGUUAAUACACCCUCCCCCUUUCUUCCCCCAUCACCCUAACAUAAAUAACAACUGAAUGCUUGCCGUGUCCCACCUCCAUCUCUUCUUCCUCUUCUGGCUCUGAGGGCUCAUCACAAACUGCCAAUUCAAGCCUCUUAAUCUUGUCUUUAUUUAAGGCUUCAUCUGCACGUUGCAUUGCUCUCAGUAUUUCAGGCUUUGCACUGUAAAAAUGACCUCCCUUCUGGGCUUCCUUUGAUUUUGAACCUAGAAAGAAAUGUAUUUAUAAACAAUAAGGGCCGGGUGCAGAGGCUCACGCCUGUAAUCCCAGCAGUUCAAGACCAGCCUGGGCAACAUAGCAAACCCCAUCUCUAUCUUAAAAUAUAUAUAUGCCAGGUGUGGUGGCUCACGCCUGUAAUCCCAGCAUUUUGGGAGGCUUAGGUGGGCGGACUACUUGAGGUCAGGAAUUCAAGACCAGCCUGGGCAAUGUGGUGAAACCCCAUCUCUACCAAAAAAAAAAUACAAAAAUUAGCCAAGGGUGGUGGUGUGCGCCUGUAGUCCCAGCUACUUGGGAGGCUGAGGUGGGAAGAUCACUUAAACCUGGGAGGCAGAGGUUGCAGUGAGCCGAGAUUGCACCACUUCACUCCAGCCUGGGCGACAGUGCAAGACCCUGUCUCGAUGAAAAAAAAAAAAAAAAAUGUAUAUAUGUAUACACACACACACACACACACACACACAUAAAAUAACUUGUUGGCUGGACACUUGACUCAACCUACAACAUUUGCCCUAAUGAACAAGAAUGACAAGUAUAAUUUGUUAUGCCCCAUUACUUUUUAUUGAUAUAGAUAGAUCAAUAAAGCACAAAAGGAAUAAAUAUUCAGGGAAAAACUACUGGUGAAACUAAAAUCACCAAUUUUACCUCCUUGAAGGUGCCCUAUGGGUUCACCCAGGACUACUUAGU
rnacentral:lncRNA from 1 species